rnacentral:rRNA from 1 species
UGGGGAAUAUUGGACAAUGGGGGAAACCCUGAUCCAGCAAUGCCGCGUGAGUGAAGAAGGCCUUAGGGUUGUAAAGCUCUUUCGCCCGCGAAGAUAAUGACGGUAGCGGGAGAAGAAGCCCCGGCUAACUCCGUGCCAGCAGCCGCGGUAAUACGGAGGGGGCUAGCGUUGUUCGGAAUUACUGGGCGUAAAGCGUACGUAGGCGGAUGCGCAAGUUGGGGGUGAAAUCCCGGGGCUUAACCUCGGAAUUGCCCUCAAAACUGCACGUCUUGAGACCGAGAGAGGUAAGGGGAAUUCCUAGUGUAGAGGUGAAAUUCGUAGAUAUGAGGAAGAACACCUGUGGCGAAGGCGCCUUACUGGCUCGGUACUGACGCUGAGGUACGAAAGCGUGGGGAGCAAACA